rnacentral:rRNA from 1 species
GACGAACGCUGGCGGCGUGCUUAACACAUGCAAGUCGAACGGAAAGGCCCUGCUUUUGUGGGGUGCUCGAGUGGCGAACGGGUGAGUAACACGUGAGUAACCUGCCCUUGACUUUGGGAUAACUUCAGGAAACUGGGGCUAAUACCGGAUAGGAGCUCCUGCUGCAUGGUGGGGGUUGGAAAGUUUCGGCGGUUGGGGAUGGACUCGCGGCUUAUCAGCUUGUUGGUGGGGUAGUGGCUUACCAAGGCUUUGACGGGUAGCCGGCCUGAGUGGGUGACCGGCCACAUUGGGACUGAGGGACGGCCCAGACUCCUACGGGAGGCAGCAGUGGGGAAUAUUGCACAAUGGGCGGAAGCCUGAUGCAGCAACGCCGCGUGCGGGAUGACGGCCUUCGUGUUGUAAACCGCUUUCGCCUGUGACGAAGCGUGAGUGACGGUAAUGGGUAAAGAAGCACCGGCUAACUACGUG